CAGCCGCCACGGUAAUACGUAGGGCGCAAGCGUUAUCCGGAAUUAUUGGGCGUAAAGAGCUCGUAGGCGGUUUGUCGCGUCUGCCGUGAAAGUCCGGGGCUCAACCCCGGAUCUGCGGUGGGUACGGGCAGACUAGAGUGAUGUAGGGGAGACUGGAAUUCCUGGUGUAGCGGUGAAAUGCGCAGAUAUCAGGAGGAACACCGAUGGCGAAGGCAGGUCUCUGGGCACUAACUGACGCUGAGGAGCGAAAGCAUGGGGAGCGAACAGGAUUAGAUACCCCUGUAGUCCCUGUCUCUUAUAC
rnacentral:rRNA from 1 species